rnacentral:misc_RNA from 1 species
CUACAAUCCAAAUAUUAUAGAGCCACAAUAAGCCUGAUAAACAAGCAAAGAAACUAAAUGAGGUCCAAGCACAAAUCAUAAUUCAACCCCAUGACCUAAAACAUAGAUUCCUACAAACCCAAUACAACAUCAGCCCAAGCCUAGCAACCAACCCUAGUAAGGCAGCAACCAGGAGGCAGCCAUUAGGAAGGACCCCAACAUCAAAGCCAAUCACUAGAUCUAACUGUCAAGGAAGAACAAUGGCCAUGUAAGCUAAGUUUGAACAAAGAUGAGUGAACUGGAGCAGAAAAACAACUCAGUUGAAACUCACAGUAACCAUGGAGAUGCCGGGGAUGCAGCAGAGAGAAAGAGGGCUAUGAAGAGCUCUUCAGCAUUUUCUCAGCCAUAGAGUCGGGCAGUUUUUAGUGGGUAAAGACCCCAGAGAAAGCCAAAGACAUAAAUUCUCUGCACACUCAACCAAUCAGAUCAAUCCUCGUCUAGACAGCUUCCAUGGUACACAGAGGUCCCUAAAGACAGGUCCCUUUGACAUUACACCGACCUGCAAC